GCCGAAGUGGUGAAAUUGGUAGACACGCACGUUUCAGAGGCGUGUGGGGGUUGCCCUGUGCGGGUUCGAGUCCCGCCUUCGGCACAA
rnacentral:tRNA from 1 species